rnacentral:rRNA from 1 species
AUUGAACGCUGGCGGAAUGCUUUACACAUGCAAGUCGAACGGCAGCACGGACUUCGGUCUGGUGGCGAGUGGCGAACGGGUGAGUAAUACAUCGGAACGUGCCUAGUCGUGGGGGAUAACGUAGCGAAAGCUACGCUAAUACCGCAUACGAUCUACGGAUGAAAGCGGGGGAUCGCAAGACCUCGCGCGAUUGGAGCGGCCGAUGGCAGAUGAGGUAGUUGGUGGGGUAAAGGCUCACCAAGCCGACGAUCUGUAGCUGGUCUGAGAGGACGACCAGCCACACGGGGACUGAGACACGGCCCAGACUCCUACAGGAGGCAGCAGUGGGGAAUUUUGGACAAUGGGCGCAAGCCUGAUUCAGCCAUUCCGCGUGCAGGAUGAAGGCCCUCGGGUUGUAAACUGCUUUUGUACGGAACGAAAAGGCUCUGGUUAAUACCCGGGGCUCAUGACGGUACCGUAAGAAUAAGCACCGGCUAACUACGUGCCAGCCGCCGCCGUAA